UCUUACGGAUGAGCAAAGAAAGUGGUUUCUUGAGAUGGAAACUACUCCUGAUGAAGACACUGUGAA
rnacentral:pre_miRNA from 1 species